GGCCUCGUAGGUCAGUUGGCUAGAGCGUUGGCUGUACAUAAGCCUUGUCAUUUCUGUCGUGGGUUCGAAUCCCACCGAGGCUA
rnacentral:tRNA from 1 species